CAGGGCCGCAUCAUUGAACGCCUGAAAGACAAUACUGACACUACAGAACAAGUGGCCUUAGCAGGAGAUGCACGGUGUGACAGCCCUGGUUUCAGUGCAAAGUAUUCAACAUACUCGUUCAUGAACGAUGCCACACAGGAGAUCGUCCACUUCGAAUUAGUUCAGGUUACAGAAGCUUCCAGCUCAGUUGCCAUGGAGUUGACAGGAUUCCAAAGAGGCCUCGACCAUCUCCAGACCCAGGGCGUGAAUGUGGGUGUUGUCACUACAGACCGA